rnacentral:rRNA from 1 species
GAUGAACGCUGGCGGCGUGCCUAAUACAUGCAAGUCGAGCGAACGGACGAGAAGCUUGCUUCUCUGAUGUUAGCGGCGGACGGGUGAGUAACACGUGGAUAACCUACCUAUAAGACUGGGAUAACUUCGGGAAACCGGAGCUAAUACCGGAUGAUAUUUUGAACCGCAUGGUUCAAAAGUGAAAGACGGUCUUGCUGUCACUUAUAGAUGGAUCCGCGCUGCAUUAGCUAGUUGGUAAGGUGACGGCUUACCAAGGCAACGAUGCAUAGCCGACCUGAGAGGGUGAUCGGCCACACUGGAACUGAGACACGGUCCAGACUCCUACGGGAGGCAGCAGUAGGGAAUCUUCCGCAAAGGGCGAAAGCCUGACGGAGCAACGCCGCGUGAGUGAUGAAGGUCUUCGGAUCGUAAAACUCUGUUAUUAGGGAAGAACAUAUGUGUAAGUAACUGUGCACAUCUUGACGGUACCUAAUCAGAAAGCCACGGCUAACUACGUG